GAUGAACGCUGGCGGCGUGCCUAAUGCAUGCAAGUCUAGCGAACGGACGAGAAGCUUGCUUCUCUGAUGUUAGCGGCGGACGGGUGAGUAACACGUGGAUAACCUACCUAUAAGACUGGGAUAACUUCGGGAAACCGGAGCUAAUACCGGAUAAUAUUUUGAACCGCAUGGUUCAAAAGUGAAAGACGGUCUUGCUGUCACUUAUAGAUGGAUCCGCGCUGCAUUAGCUAGUUGGUAAGGUAACGGCUUACCAAGGCAACGAUGCAUAGCCGACCUGAGAGGGUGAUCGGCCACACUGGAACUGAGACACGGUCCAGACUCCUACGGGAGGCAGCAGUAGGGAAUCUUCCGCAAUGGGCGAAAGCCUGACGGAGCAACGCCGCGUGAGUGAUGAAGGUCUUCGGAUCGUAAAACUCUGUUAUUAGGGAAGAACAUAUGUGUAAGUAACUGUGCACAUCUUGACGGUACCUAAUCAGAAAGCCACGGCUAACUACGUG
rnacentral:rRNA from 1 species